UUCAGUUCUUACUGGAACAGUUCUGGUCAAGAUGGCGGAAAGAGUACUUGUUGGGACUUCAAAGACGACAGAAAUGGACGAUGCCCAGACGGAAUUUACAAGUGGGAGACAUUGUAUUGCUCACUGACGAUGAAGCUCCGCGUAUGAAAUGGCCAAUUGCGAUGGUCGCAGAAGCCACUCCUGAUGAAGAUGGUCUGGUCAGACGGGUACAGGUGCGCGUUGGAACGAAAGACCUUGACAACAAAGGUCGUCCAAACAAGAAGCUUGCCGAAUACUGGAGGCCGGUUCAGAAGCUCGUACUGCUUCUGGAAAAGGUACCUCCAUAGAGCAGGUAUGUAUGUACACUUGAGAUUGUUUGGAGCGGGUACAAAUGUUUGACCUUGCAUUUGCACAUGUACUUCGUUUUCUGGUACAGUUUAAAAAUUUAGGACUCAAAUUCUGAUCUUGUUUGCUGCGAAUUUUAGAUACACAGCGCUUAAAUAUUGUCGCAACCUUUAAGCUUGCCUUACAACCUUUGCAGUGUGUGUUAUAAUCUUUUACAGCACAUGUUAUAAACGUGCAUUGUUUGAGUUCCGCAUCAUCACUUGUGCCAUUCUGGUUUGAUCAAGCUAUUCAAUUGCCAUGUUAUUCGUGUUGUAGAUUGCAAGUGUACCAAUUUACAUGCAAGAGGUGUAUGGAGUGCUUGCUUAAAAAUUUCCAUAUUAUGGUCACAUUAUUUCACAUGCACCACUUAUGUAAUACUAGUAAAUGCAUUUUCAUAUAUAUGUAAGUGUACUCAUGCAUGUGAUUAUGUUACCAGUGAAGGCAAUUUUGGUGGGAGUGUAAAGGCACUUCAUACACCGUGCGGUUGUAAUUGUCUAUUUGGCAUUCCAUAAUUUUAUCGUCUGCGAAGAUUGUAAUUUUUGGCCCAAUACUGGGGCACGUUAUGGCGAUGGAAAAGGAAUUGCAUCGUUAAUCGGCAUAUUAUUUAUGCCUGCCUGAGACUUUGGUAACAAGUGGCACAGUGUUUUUACGGGAAUCUAAGGAACAAAGUGAAUCAGCAAGCCAAAGAGUCAGCUUUGACCAUGAUGAAGAGACUAGAUUCAAUAAAGCUGUUUUGACUAUUGUUUACCCAGUA